rnacentral:rRNA from 1 species
UACGGAGGGUGCGAGCGUUGUCCGGAAUCACUGGGCGUAAAGGGCGCGUAGGCGGCGCGGAUAGUCGGCGGUGAAAGCCCGGAGCUCAACUCCGGGUCGGCCGUCGAUACUUCCGGGCUUGAGCACUGUAGAGGCAGAUGGAAUUCCGGGUGUAGCGGUGGAAUGCGUAGAGAUCCGGAAGAACACCGGUGGCGAAGGCGGUCUGCUGGGCAGUUGCUGACGCUGAUGCGCGACAGCGGUGGGGAGCAAACGAGGAUUA